rnacentral:rRNA from 1 species
GGGAAGCCUAGGAGGGGGAUCUACUGGAACGGUAAUACCGCAUAAGUCGCAAGACAAAGAGGGGGACCUUCGGGCCUCUUCCAUCAGAUGUGCCCAGAUGGGAUUAGCUAGUAGGUGGGGGUAAGGCUCACCUAGGCGAGAUCCCUAGCUGGUUGAGAGGAUGACCAGCCACACUGGAACUGAGCCGGUCCAGACUCCUACGGGAGGCAGCAGUGGGGAAUWUUGCCAAUGGGCGCAAGCCGAUGCAGCCAUGCCGCGGUAUGAAGAAGGCCUUCGGGUUGUAAAGACUUUCAGCGGGGAGGAAGGUUGAGGUUAAUAACCUCACAAUUGACGUUACCCGCAGAAGAAGCCCGGCUAACUCCGUGCCACAGCCCGGUAAUACGGAGGGUGCAAGCGUUAAUCGGAAUUACUGGGGUAAAGCGCACGCAGGCGGUCUGUCAAGUCGGAUGUGAAAUCCCCGGGCUCAACCUGGGAACUGCAUUCGAAACUGGCAGGCUAGAGUCUUGUAGAGGGGGGUAGAAUUCCAGGUGUAGCGGUGAAAUGCGUAGAGAUCUGGAGGAAUACCGGUGGCGAAGGCGGCCCCCUGGACAAAGCUGACGCUCAGGUGCGAAAGCGUGGGGAGCAACAGGAUUAGAUACCCUGGUAGUCCCCCGUAAACAAUGUGACUUGGAGGUUGUGCCCUUGAGGCGUGUUCGGAGCUAACGGCGGUUAAAA